rnacentral:rRNA from 1 species
GAGUUUGAUCAUGGCUCAGAUUGAACGCUGGCGGCAUGCCUUACACAUGCAAGUCGAACGGCAGCAUGAUCUAGCUUGCUAGAUUGAUGGCGAGUGGCGAACGGGUGAGUAAUACAUCGGAACGUGCCCUGUAGUGGGGGAUAACUAGUCGAAAGAUUAGCUAAUACCGCAUACGACCUGAGGGUGAAAGUGGGGGACCGCAAGGCCUCAUGCUAUAGGAGCGGCCGAUGUCUGAUUAGCUAGUUGGUGGGGUAAAGGCCCACCAAGGCGACGAUCAGUAGCUGGUCUGAGAAGACGAUCAGCCACACUGGGACUGAGACACGGCCCAGACUCCUACGGGAGGCAGCAGUGGGGAAUUUUGGACAAUGGGCGAAAGCCUGAUCCAGCAAUGCCGCGUGUGUGAAGGAGGCCUGGUUGUAAGCACUUUGUCGAAGAAUAGCUCUGUUAGUACUGGGUCGAGUGACGGUA